CCUGGCGGCACUAGCGCGGUGGUCCCACCUGACCCCAUGCCGAACUCAGAAGUGAAACGCCGUAGCGCCGAUGGUAGUGUGGGGUCUCCCCAUGUGGUUUGGGAGAAGGCUCUGC
rnacentral:rRNA from 1 species